rnacentral:rRNA from 1 species
UGGGGAAUUUUGGACAAUGGGCGAAAGCCUGAUCCAGCAAUGCCGCGUGUGUGAAGAAGGCCUUCGGGUUGUAAAGCACUUUUGUCCGGAAAGAAAUCCUUGGCUCUAAUACAGUCGGGGGAUGACGGUACCGGAAGAAUAAGCACCGGCUAACUACGUGCCAGCAGCCGCGGUAAUACGUAGGGUGCAAGCGUUAAUCGGAAUUACUGGGCGUAAAGCGUGCGCAGGCGGUUUGCUAAGACCGAUGUGAAAUCCCCGGGCUCAACCUGGGAACCGCAUUGGUGACUGGCAGGCUAGAGUAUGGCAGAGGGGGGUAGAAUUCCACGUGUAGCAGUGAAAUGCGUAGAGAUGUGGAGGAAUACCGAUGGCGAAGGCAGCCCCCUGGGCCAAUACUGACGCUCAUGCACGAAAGCGUGGGGAGCAAACAGGAUUAGAUACCCUGGUAGUCCACGCCCUAAACGAUGUCAACUAGUUGUUGGGGAUUCAUUUCCUUAGUAACGUAGCUAACCGCGUGAAGUUGACCGCCU